rnacentral:rRNA from 1 species
GGUUAAGUGAAUAAGGGCGCACGGUGGAUGCCUUGGCACUAGGAGCCGAUGAAGGACGGGACUAACACCGAUAUGCUUCGGGGAGCUGUAAGUAAGCUUUGAUCCGGAGAUUUCCGAAUGGGGAAACCCAGCAUCUUUUAUAGGAUGUUACUUUUCAGUGAAUACAUAGCUGAUUAGAGGUAGACGCAGAGAACUGAAACAUCUAAGUACCUGCAGGAAGAGAAAGAAAAUUCGAUUCCCUGAGUAGCGGCGAGCGAAACGGGAAAAGCCCAAACCAAGAGGCUUGCCUCUUGGGGUUGUAGGACUCCGAUAUGGUAGUCCAGUGAGAUAGUCGAAGGACCUGGAAAGGUCUGCUAGAAAGGGUAAAAGCCCCGUAGACAAAAUUUGACUGGCACCUAGGAGGAUCCUGAGUACGGCGGAACACGAGGAAUUCCGUCGGAAUCCGGGAGGACCAUCUCCCAAGGCUAAAUACUCCCUAGUGACCGAUAGUGAACCAGUACCGUGAGGGAAAGGUGAAAAG